AAGAUUGAAAUUUGAAAAAAACAUGAUGGCAAAGUUUGCAGAAUUCAGCAAACAGAUGGGAACCCAACAGGUGUUUACGAACAGGAUUGACAAAGAAAAUAGUAAUCCAAACUUCCAAUAAACUCUUUUACAGAGACCUAGUCCUAAUAAGGCUGCAGGUGCAAGGCCAACUGUUAUUUCUUCAAAUGCGCUCAUACAUGCUUCAACAAGAAAUUCUCGAAUGUUUAAAGCAAUUGAUCCAAAUAACUAGCUGGACUGGACUCGAGAUGACGGAGGAUCCAAAAAACUACCUGGACUAGACUCGAGACCACGCACAAUUUAGUCUAUGACUGGGCCAGUUUCAUUUGAUGGUUUGCUAUGAGAAUUAUGAGUUUUAUGAAUCUAUUAUAUGUACGGUUUUGAAUAGUGUAAUUGAAUGCCAUAUUUUUUU